GUGGAGACAGAGGCUACCCCGGGGUCAGCCGCCACCAUGCCGCCCCUGAUGUGAUGUGGAGCUGGGGUGAUGGUGUGUGAAUAAGGGGAGCGGAUGGUGCAUCCCGUCAUGGCCGCGGCCGAGCAGCUCAACCAUUUACAGAUGGUUGCCCGCAAACCUCACUCCGAGCGGGAGUGUUCUCUGUCUCUCUGCCUGGGUGUGCUGACACACACAGCAAGGAUGUCUUCAACCCGUCUGCUCCGAGGUGACACAUGGCUAAAUCACUGUAAGCAUGUUUAUGGCUGCCGAGGCUGAUUUCUGUUUGGUCACAGAAUAAGGCACAUUUAUUACUGGUCACGACUUAGAAAUAAUAAUAAGAAGCAUCCUUAGAAAGUGCUGCUAUCUGCUAUGCAUUUGCAUCAUCAGGUUUUUGUGUCGUCCUUUCUUAUCGCCUUGUUAACUUAGUGUUAUUUUAUCAUUUCAGGGUAAAAUUACUUUUGUGUAUAUAUAUAUAACCGCCAAUUAAUGAAACUGGCCUCCAUUCUGGUGGCAAAGACAUCACUGGCUGACAUUUGGCACCUGUUAUAUGUUAAGACGUCUGAUGUGUUGCAGACAUCCACCAAGCCAUUUGAGAAACAAUGAAACUCAGGGAGAGCAAGAUGAGGUGAGCCAAUGUAUCUCACCGCUCGGCAGUUCAACCGAAAUACCAAGGGCAGGUGGGGAAACCGUGAAGGCGAGGUUAGAAGUCAAUCCACAUAUUUGUCAGACCUGUCACAGAGUCCAUCAACCAGCCAAUCACAAGCUGCCUAAUUAGACAGUUACAUCCCUUCCUUUAAAGAACGAGUAAAAAAAAAAAAGAAGAAGAAAAAAAGAGAAAAAAGGCACCAGAAAGGAAAUGAUUCCAAGUGACUUGAGCACAAUGUGUGGAGUUAAUGGGGUGAGGGACUGUAUCCUUAAACCUUCCCCCAGUCUGAGCACACGUUCACUGUGAUCUUACUUUAAUGUUGCCAUGAGUGAAUGGACAUAUGAGGCUCUUAAUCGAAAUCAUUAAUUUAAGUAGAACUGUUUCAACCAGACGGAGCUGACAGUCCUCCAUGUAUCUCUUGCACCCUUAAGCAUGACAGUCUCCUCAUUUCAAAUAAUUGCUCCACGUGGUCUUACUGAAAAGGAAAAAAAAAAGAAAAACAGAAUUUACAUUUCUCUCAUGUGUACAGCUGAAUCUUGUGGAGGGCCUUGAACAAGCAUGUGUCCACGCCCAGAAUGCAAUAUGAGAACUUGGGAAUAUGGGAAACCUCUUUGAGAAAGAAAAGAUGGUUGAGGGGAAUUUCUAUAAGUUGGAUGACACCCUCUCUCUCUUUCCCCUGUCGAAUGAAUUCAUAUCCUCUGUUUAUCAUUCAUAUCGAUGUUUAUGCAUAAUCACAUCGCACAAUAUAUAAUUCAGUUUAAUCAACAGGCUUUAUCUCCGGCAAACGCAGUUUCUGUCAGUUUGUCUAAUAUGAGGAAGGCCAUGGGGGAAGGCUUGUCAAUGUUUGCCAGUGAGUUUGCUCAAGGAUGAGAGUGUGAUGAAUCUCCCACCUCUCUAUAUAUAUGCAGGGGACUUGAUUUUAAUUCACUGUAAAAAAAAAAAAGGAUAUGCCGCAUACAAAAGCCUAGCAUGGCUUUGAAACUCUUAAACAUUUUUUCUACCACAGAAAGGUUGAAUUAAAGAUUUAACCGUCUUACUAUAUGCAAAAAGAGCACGUCUCCUUCUUUAUUAACCUCUAUUGUCUUCUGACUGAGCCUCAAUCCUUUCUUAACAGUGAAAGCAAACAUCAAUACGGUGUAUUCUCUGCACAUAUUCUCCC
ensembl:lncRNA